CACCAGGCGCGAAAACUCUACAAUGCAGGCAACUGCGAUAGGGGAACAUUGAGUGAUCCUCAUAUUGGGGGUCUGUCCCACCGUCUAAAAAACGGUGGUUAGCAAGGGCCGGGCAAGACCGGUGCCAGCCGCCGCGGUAAUACCGGCGGCUCGAGUGGUGGCCGAUAUUAUUGAGUCUAAAGGGUCCGUAGCCGGCUUUGCAAGUUUCUCGGGAAAUCCAGCGGCUUAACCGUUGGUCGUCCGGGGGGUACUACAUUGCUUGGGACUGGGAGAGGUAGGAGGUACUCAGGGGGUAGGAGUGAAAUCCUGUAAUCCUCUGGGGACCACCGGUGGCGAAGGCGUCCUACCAGAACAGGUCCGACGGUGAGGGACGAAAGCUAGGGGCACGAACCGGAUUAGAUACCCGGGUAGUCCUAGCCGUAAACGAUGCUCGCUAGGUGUCACAACAGUCGUGAACUGUUGUGGUGCCGUAGGGAAGCCGUGAAGCGAGCCACUUGGGAAGUACGACCGCAAGGUUGAAACUUAAAGGAAUUGGCGGGGGAGCA
rnacentral:rRNA from 1 species